CUCGACUCUCUCUUCGAUCUGUCCGCCAGCGACGGCGAGACAGGGGAGCUGUGCCCCGGCCGCCGGCGACGGCGGCGAGAGCCACCACAGCCGCGCGCACCUCCUUUCCCUUUCCCCUUUUCUUCUGUGGCUUAGAUAGGGAGAGGGAGAUGCGUUGCGUCACUAGACGUCAAUGGCGACGGCUCGGCCGCCCGCCCCGGCCGCCGGCGGCGGUAGCCACCGCGCGGCGCCCUUUCUCUUUCUCCCUCCCGUCCUCUUCUCCCGUCUGUGGCAGAGAGGGAGAGACACAGCUGUGCAUCCUGUGCUCCCCUUGGCGUUCUGUUACCAGACGGGCGACAACGAUGGCUCAGCCGCCGAAGACGGCGCCGAAGGCUACCCCACUGGCGCCGGCCACUGUUUCCAUCUACCACCGCCUGUGAGCGAGAGAGACGCCAGUUCAUCGGGCCCCACAAGCUCCCAUCUGCGCCCAACAGCGCCCUUUAGGACGGAGCGGCGGCACCCCUGCCGACCCCUUCGCCUGUUGCGCGUUCCCCUUGCGGUGAGCGCGCCGCCGUCGAAUGGAUCGGUGGUGGUGCUCUUUGCCCCAAAAGGGGUGGUUCUUCGCCCCUACACCUUGGCUUGCCGAUGCGUGUGGGGAUCGAGAGGAACGGCGCGGCAAAGUGGCGGCGCACUUUUUCUGCGAUUUCUCUGGAUUUCUUUGAUUUGCUUUCUAUAUUAAAUAAUAGCCUCUCCUUGCAUCUGAUACCAAUGUUAAGACCAUGGGAUUGACUAGGCCAUGAUAUUCGGAGUAGAUCGGUGUGUCUGCGAUCUGUACAUGAGGGAGUACAGAGAGAUGGAAGAAGGAGGAGCAGCUACCUUCUCCUUGGCCCUAGAGGAGCGCCCGGUGCCAGUGGUGAACGGAUGGGAGUUCGGCGUAGAGGUCGACGGUGAAGUGGCUGGUGGCGCUUCCCGUCGCUUCAGUGCCUCCCUUUGGAUCGGAUUAGGGUUAGGAGUGGGGAACAGUGGCGGCGAUGAAUCUCAUACCUCGUGCCCAUGGUCCCUACCUCCUCUUUAUAGCACUGCGUGACAGGGGCCCACCAGCCUUGCUUGGGCUGGACGCCCCCGAUCAGGGCGUCGGUCAAGGGCCCAAUGAGCCGUUGGGCCCAUUGGUGGAGAGAUCAACCUAACACAUCUAACACACCCGUGGCCAUAACACCGGGUACUUCCAUUCUUUUGGUCCGCUUGAUAUGAUGCAAUACUCACAAGCAUAAUGAUGCCUAUGAUAAAUUCUUUCUGUCAGGUUUUCACCCUAUGGAGGAUGCCGUUGGGCAGUCUGCUGUCACCCAACUACGAUGCGCUCAAACUACAAAAGGUAAUCAUUACUAACCAGAUAUACCAGCAUCACUUACGUCUAUCCCUAGUUAUUCACCUCAUACCUGGAUCUAUGAUGUAUUCUCUGUCAUCCUCAUUAGACUUGUUGAAAUCACUGAAAACUCUAAACCCUGUCAUCUCGCGCGGUCCUUGUAUUGAGGACCACCUCUUUUAGAUAAUAUUCGAACAUAAAAGAGGUUGUGUCAAACUUUAUCUCUCUGUAGGCAACUAGCACAUGUGAGCAAGGAAAGUGGAGUAGUUUAGUUUGUUGCAGAGCACUCACACGUGGGCCUGAAUUUCAUUCCAUUUUUCACCUCAUGCGUCUUCAACUCAUUUGAAGAUCCAAAACUAUCGCUAGUAGGCAUACCUCAUACCUCCUUUCUUGAUUCCCAAUGGCUAUGACCGUGUGAAGCUUUGCUUUAUCUAUCUUCUUUGUCAUAUACUCCACGACCGUUCACAAUAAGGUGUGCUUUCUGAUGCCUAUCUCUGAACUACCUCACCGUAGCAUGAAAUACAUCAUACACAAUUGUUAUGAGUGGAAGAUCUCUAUUCCCUCGGAGAACAAAGCUAUACACCUUUGAAAGUUGUCAUGAUGACAUGCCUCAGCUCCAUGCGUCUCAUGCAGCAAAGACUGCCACACAGGAGGCUCUUUCUGUACCCACUAAAAAAACCUUUUGUUCUUUCUUUUCAUAUCAGGAGGGUCAAAUGCUGACAUAUUUUUCUACAAAAUUGGUCGAGCUUAAAGAAGCUAGCUUAAGAUAAACCCAAAACUACUAGUAUUUUAGAAUGGAAGGAGUACGACGAAAGUGCAAACAUAUUUUAAAUAAAAACAACCUCAUAAAAAAUAUGCCGAUAAUGAAGCUUAAUGGCGUUUAGAAGACCUAAGCAAUUGCAGUAUCCCAUGAUGUUACCAAAAUCUUUCUUAAUUUUAUCAAGAUCUUUCUUAAUUUUUUUUUGAGAAAUAUCAAGAUCUUUCUUAAUUUGUAUGUAUGUAUAGUAUAGGUUGGUAAAUAAUUUGGAAGUUGAGACGUUCGGCCCAGGUCGUUCUAAUGCUGAGAGGAUAAAUGUGUCUUCAACUGCAGUGUGUUUCUUUAAUGGCACUGUGGUGAUUUGGGAAUUCAGGUUGCAUAUUUAGCCAAGUAAUAUGCUUAAAAUUUAUGUUACUCUACUUGGAGACAUCAACCAAAAACGGUGGUGAAAGUUCCUUUUUUUUAUAUAGAGAUUGCUAGAAGUCAGUAACGAGAAAAUCUGAUAACUGCUGUAUGUUAUUGUGUAUCAGGUGGUGGCAACUUAGCCCAUGAUUUAGUGAUUAAUAAUUGUGGGCAUUAUUUCAUUUCCCCCUAAUCCCUUCCAUGGUUGUGAAUUGGAGUUAGAAAAAGGAGUGGCUACAUUCUUAUCUCACUAACAAGCAACAGAUAGUGCUUGAUGAGUUAGAGGGUAAGAUGCAGGAGAAGGGUUACAGGGGUGAACUAGGUAGUACCAGAGUCUUUGAUGCUCACGAAGAGGAUGGGAAACGUGAGAUGGUUGGAGUGCACAGCGAGUUGUUGGCAUUGGGGUUUGGUUUGCUGGUUAUCCCCAAGGCGAUGACCAUCAGGGUGAUGAAGAACCUGAGGGUGUGCGGUGACUGCCACAACGCCUAGAUGGGGCAUGUUCUUGCAAUGACUACUGCUGAUUCAAAGCUGAAAUCAAAGUGAUUGUCAUUUGAAUUCUUUCUAGAAGAUCCAACCCAUCUUACAAAAAUCCAGAAGGUUCAAGUCUCUGGCUUUUGGCACUUCGUAAUUCAUACCCUGGUACGUUGUCCAACAUGAGUAUUUCAUUGUUCGUUAAGAGCAUUUCAGUGGACUUACAAAUCUUAUAAUAGGCAAGGACAAUCUCUUUAAAUUGUUCAUGCAAUCAUGUAGAAUUUUCAUGCCUUUUACCAGUUCUGUUGUUUGCCAUCCCUGGUGCUAUGUAACUUUUGGUCUUGCUCUGUUGAAUCGUAGCUAUGGCUUGAUCUUUAUGCCAUAUAGGAAUAAUCCCAAAUGGGCGUGUUGAAAUGCCCCGUGAUUGUGAAUAUCUGCAUUUUGGUAAGGUUUAGACGGAGAAAUGUGUUUACUGUUAUUUUUGUGACAACGACAGUGUUGUUUUUAAGCUUGCUUUACUGCUAAGUUUAUUGCAUAAAGAUGCAUGUGACUGUACAAGGAAUCAAAACCCUCUGCUUUGCAAGUACUGUCACAUUGUUCAUCAACGAUCUCCAGGUACGUAGCAUCGCAUGUUUUAUUCAGCUUGUGCUGAUUGGUCCAACUAACCCUGAUAUCUCAUUUUGUGAUUCGUUUUCUUGUGGGUUUUUUUUUACCUUGGGUUUAGUUACACAAUUUGUAUGCACAUAAUCUUGGCCGAAUAUUAGUUUUGUUGUCGGUCUGAAAGAAUGACGCUUGUGGUUUGCUGGCAGGGUUCAGAAGGUGACCACCAAAAUGUCGGAGAAAGUGGCAGCUGGAAUGCUGUUACUUGGAGUUGUGAAGAGCACUGACUAUUUUACAAGCUCAUCAGCUAACUCAAAGUGGCAAAUCUGAUGAAGGUUCAUUCAAGAGAAGCCAUGUACGAAUCCACCUGCAAACCUGGAAGAUAAAUUACUUCCAUAUUGAGGAAUAAAGUUAGCUUCUCUGAAAACGGUAUCUGAAAGCAAAUGAACGUGACUUCGAAAUUUGGAGCCAUGGCCCAUGUGUAUGCAAGGGCAGUGCACCCUUCUAUUACUUGAGGGGUCCAGCAAAGAUUAUUGAAGUUCGUCUUCUGAAGAUGUGAUUGACUAAGUGGGAGUGAAGUUGUUCUUUCUGUUUGUAUCUGAAUUCCGAAAUGACAAACCUAAUGAAGAUCCUUCUGAGGCAUUUUGGUUGUGCCCUUUCUCGCACUGAACCGGUCCAUCGAUGGAGCAGUCAAAGAAGCAAUGCCGCGGUAGCAGAAACAAGAAAAGAAGGCAUUCUAACAGUGUGCUCGCAUGAUCCAGUAGCAUGUGUUUAAUACUAGCCACUAUAACUUGCCAUUGUUCAAACUUAACCCUUCGCCGAAAACAAUCCUCGGUACGGGUGCACGGCGUACCUUUUUUCUCUCUCGAAAACGCAAAAGCUUUGUACCUUGUUGUAUUGAAUAGGUAGGAGCAAACUUAAUUACACAGCCAAGCGGCGUAUUAUUGGUUUAAA